GGUAGUUUAGUGGUAAAGUGCUUGCCUAGCAUGCAUGAAGCCCUGAGUUCGAUUCCUCAGUACCA
rnacentral:tRNA from 1 species